GGCAAGGUAAGGCAAGGCAAGGCAAGGCCAGGAAAGGACAGCCAGGCCAGUCCAGGCAAGGCUAGGCAAGGCAAGGCCAGGCAAGGCAAAGGAAGGACAUACAAGGCAAGGCCAGGCAAGGCAAGGCCAGGCCAGGCAAGGCAAGGCAAGGCAAGGCCAGGCCAUGGAAUGCAAGGUAAGGCAAGGCAAGGCCAGGAAAGGCAAGGCAAGGCAAGGAAAUCCCAGGCCAGGCAAGGCCGGGCAAGGCAAUGCAAUGCUAGGCAAGGCCAGGCCAGGAAAGGCAAAGCAAGGCAAGGCAAGGCAAAACAGAUCAAGGCCAGGCCAGGCCAG
rnacentral:lncRNA from 1 species